GCCGACGUAGCCCAACGGGGAGAGGCAGCGCUCUUCGACGCCCCUGGUCGGGAAGCGCGCAGUGUCCGUUCGAAUCGGACCGUCGGUA
rnacentral:tRNA from 1 species